UGAUGAAUGCCUGGUUGCAAAUGGUGGCUGCGAUGAUCGGUGCGACAAUCUAAAUGGAUCAUUCGCGUGCGCUUGUACGGACCCAGGAUAUAUUUUAGGAGCAGACUUUCGCUCGUGCGACGAUGUGGACGAGUGCAGUAUCUCUAAUGGUGGGUGUGAAGAUACAUGCACCAAUAUUAUAGGUUCUUUCCUGUGUUUCUGCAACCAAGAUGGCUACCAGUUGGGAAAUGACUCUCAGUCGUGUGAAGAUAUAAAUGAAUGUGCUGUCAAUAACGGCAGUUGUAGUGACAUUUGCAUCAACACCAACGGCUCCUACCACUGCGAAUGUAACGAAGCUGGUUUUGUCCUUGGAGGCGACGGUCACACUUGUCAAGUUGUCAUUGAAGAGUUUAAUUUUACGGCCGUUUUUAAUGGAACGACAACAAGUUCAAUAGCGCAAGACAUUUCUUCCGAGGCAC